GGGAGAUGGCUCAAUGGUUAAGAGCACUGGCUGCUCUUCCAGAGGACCAGGGUUCAAUUCCCAGCACCCA
rnacentral:tRNA from 1 species